UACGUGAAGAGUGCAGAUAAUAGUGC
rnacentral:sRNA from 1 species